UACGGAGGGGGCUAGCGUUGUUCGGAAUUACUGGGCGUAAAGCGCACGUAGGCGGCUUUGUAAGUUAGAGGUGAAAGCCCGGGGCUUAACCCCGGAAUAGCCUUUAAGACUGCAUCGCUUGAACACGGGAGAGGUGAGUGGAAUUCCGAGUGUAGAGGUGAAAUUCGUAGAUAUUCGGAAGAACACCAGUGGCGAAGGGGCUCACUGGACCGUUGUUGACGCUGAGGUGGCGAAAAGCGUGGGGAGCAAACACGG
rnacentral:rRNA from 1 species